rnacentral:rRNA from 1 species
UACGAAGGGGGCUAGCGUUGUUCGGAAUUACUGGGCGUAAAGCGUGCGUAGGCGGUUAUUCAAGUCAGGGGUGAAAGCCCGGGGCUCAACCCCGGAACUGCCUUUGAAACUAGGUAGCUAGAAUCUUGGAGAGGUCAGUGGAAUUCCGAGUGUAGAGGUGAAAUUCGUAGAUAUUCGGAAGAACACCAGUGGCGAAGGCGACUGAGUGGACAAGUAUUGACGCUGAGGUACGAAAGCGUGGGGAGCAAACAGG